UUCUUGUUGGGGCUCGUCAGGCACACAACAGUCGAGCGGAACGAGUUAACUGAACCUUCGGGGGACGUUAACGGCGUCGAGCGGCGGACGGGUGAGUAAUGCCUGGGAAAUUGCCCUGAUGUGGGGGAUAACCAUUGGAAACGAUGGCUAAUACCGCAUAAUGCCUUCGGCCCAAAGAGGGGGACCUUCGGGCCUCUCGCGUCAGGAUUAGCCCAGGUGGGAUUAGCUAGUUGGUGAGGUAAUGGCUCACCAAGGCGACGAUCCCUAGCUGGUCUGAGAGGAUGAUCAGCCACACUGGAACUGAGACACGGUCCAGACUCCUACGGGAGGCAGCAGUGGGGAAUAUUGCACAAUGGGCGCAAGCCUGAUGCAGCCAUGCCGCGUGUGUGAAGAAGGCCUUCGGGUUGUAAAGCACUUUCAGUCGUGAGGAAGGUAGUGUAGUUAAUAGCUGCAUUAUUUGACGUUAGCGACAGAAGAAGCACCGGCUAACUCCGUGCCAGCAGCCGCGGUAAUACGGAGGGUGCGAGCGUUAAUCGGAAUUACUGGGCGUAAAGCGCAUGCAGGUGGUUAGUUAAGUCAGAUGUGAAAGCCCGGGGCUCAACCUCGGAACUGCAUUUGAAACUGGCUGACUAGAGUACUGUAGAGGGGGGUAGAAUUUCAGGUGUAGCGGUGAAAUGCGUAGAGAUCUGAAGGAAUACCAGUGGCGAAGGGUGGCCCCCUGGACAGAUACUGACACUCAGAUGCGAAAGCGUGGGGGAGCAAACAGGAUUAGAUACCCUGGUAGUCCACGCCGUAAACGAUGUCUACUUGGAGGUUGUGGCCUUGAGCCGUGGCUUUCGGAGCUAACGCGUUAAGUAAGACCCGCCUGGAGGAGUACGGGCCGCAAGAUUAAAACUCAAAUGACUGACCGGGCGGCCCGCACCAUCGGUGGCAGCAUGUGCUUUAUUUCGAUGCCACCGCGACAGUACCUUACCUACUCUGAAUCCAGUGGACUUGAGCAGAAAUUGCUUCGAUGACGUCGGGAAACUGCUGAAACAGUGCUGCAUUGCUUGCGUCAGCUUCGGAGUGCUAUACGUUCGGUAGGUCCGUCACGAGGCCACCGUAUGCUGGUGCCAGCCUUCGGUGGGAACUCCAGGUGGAACCUGUCCGGGUGUA
rnacentral:rRNA from 1 species